GGAGAUGGCUGUGAAACUCAUUAGAAUGACAAUAUAACUCAUUAUCUGUGUUAGUCAACGUCUAUUCAUAAAUCUGGUCCUUCACCGUCACGUGUGUAUUGUAUUGUUGCCCAACUAACCAAUAGCAAUGUUUUAGGAAAGUUACCUAUCCGUGACUCGAACAAUAGGGAAAUUGGAAAUUGCUAUUGGUGGAUUUGGCAAAAAUACACGACACACAUGACAGAUUUAUGAAUAACUGACGUUGACUAACCGAGUAACAUAGGUAAUGAGUUUAUUGUUAUUCUAAUGAGUUUCACGGCCAUCUUC